rnacentral:rRNA from 1 species
AGUCAUUGGGAAUAAAAUAUUUUUUCAUCGAAAUAUUAAUAAAUUUUAUGAAACCCAAAGGCGCAAUAAAAGUAAAAUAAAUUUUUUAUUUAUUUUUUAUAAAUAAAUAUAUUAAAAUUUUGAGGGAGGAUAUAUUUUUAUUACGUAUUAAAUAUCGCACUCCCAGGGCAUCUUAUACUAUUCUUAUAAUUAUUUUAUAAUUUUUAUUAUGAAUAAAGGUGCACCUAGAGCGUACACGCUGGGACCCGAAAGAUGGUGAACUAUGCCUGGUCAGGACGAAGUCAGGGGAAACCCUGAUGGAGGUCCGUAGCGAUUCUGACGUGCAAAU